CAAGUCGAGCGAAGCAUAUGAAGUGCUUGCACAUCAUAUGCUUAGCGGCGGACGGGUGAGUAACGCGUGGGAAACCUGCCUUGUAGUGGGGGAUAGCCUCGGGAAACCGGGAUUAAUACCCCAUAAGGCUCUAAUACCACAUGGUAUGUGAGUCAAAGCUUUCGCGCUAUAAGAUGGUUCCGCGUCCCAUUAGCUAGUUGGUGAGAUAAAAGCUUACCAAGGCAACGAUGGGUAGCCGACCUGAGAGGGUGAUCGGCCACACUGGGACUGAGACACGGCCCAGACUCCUACGGGAGGCAGCAGUGGGGAAUAUUGCGCAAUGGGGGGAACCCUGACGCAGCAACGCCGCGUGAGUGAAGAAGGCCUUCGGGUCGUAAAACUCUGUCUUAAGGGAUGAAACUUUGACAGUACCUUAAGAGGAAGCCCCGGCUAACUAUGUGCCAGCAGCCGCGGUAAUACAUAGGGGGCAAGCGUUGUCCGGAAUUACUGGGCGUAAAGGGCGUGUAGGCGGCAAGCUAAGUCAGAUGUGAAAGUCCACGGCUUAACCGUGGAAUUGCAUUUGAAACUGUCUUGCUUGAGUGCAGGAGAGGAGAGCGGAAUUCCUAGUGUAGCGGUGAAAUGCGUAGAUAUUAGGAAGAACACCAGUGGCGAAGGCGGCUCUCUGGACUGUAACUGACGCUGAGACGCGAAAGCGUGGGUAGCAAACAGGAUUAGAUACCCUGGUAGUCCACGCCGUAAACGAUGAGUGCUAGGUGUUGGGGGUCGAACCUCAGUGCCGGCGUAAACGCAUUAAGCACUCCGCCUGGGAGUACGACCGCGAGGUUGAAACUCAAAGGAAUUGACGGGGGGCCCGCACAAGCAGCGGAGCAUGUGGUUUAAUUCGAAGCAACGCGAAGAACCUUACCAGGACUUGACAUCCCUUGCUCACCGUAGAGAUACGGUUUU
rnacentral:rRNA from 1 species